rnacentral:rRNA from 1 species
GACGAACGCUGGCGGCGUGCCUAAUACAUGCAAGUUGAGCGCUGAAGGUUGGUACUUGUACCAACUGGAUGAGCAGCGAACGGGUGAGUAACGCGUGGGUAAUCUGCCUUUGAGCGGGGGACAACAUUUGGAAACGAAUGCUAAUACCGCAUAAAAACUUUAAACACAAGUUUUAAGUUUGAAAGAUGCAAUUGCAUCACUCAAAGAUGAUCCCGCGUUGUAUUAGCUAGUUGGUGAGGUAAAGGCUCACCAAGGCGAUGAUACAUAGCCGACCUGAGAGGGUGAUCGGCCACAUUGGGACUGAGACACGGCCCAAACUCCUACGGGAAGCAGCAGUAGGGAAUCUUCGGCAAUGGACGAAAGUCUGACCGAGCAACGCCGCGGGAGUGAAGAAGGGUUUCGGAUCGUAAAACUCUGUUGGUAGAGAAGAACGUUGGUGAGAGUGGAAAGCUCAUCAAGUGACGGUAACUACCCAGAAAGGGACGGCUAACUACGUG